GAACGCUGGCGGCGGGUUUAACACAUGCAAGUCGAACGGAGAUCCAUAAGGAGCAAUCUGAGUGGAUCUUAGUGGCGGACGGGUGAGUAACGCGUGACAAUUUGCCUUCGGGUGGGGGAUAAGAGCGGGAAACCGUUGCUAAUACCGCAUACGACGUCGACCGGGCAUCCGGUUGCCGUGAAAGGAGCAAUCCGCCCAUAGAUGAGCUCGCGUCCCAUUAGCUAGUUGGUGGGGUAAAGGCCCACCAAGGCGACGAUGGGUAGCCGGACUGAGAGGUUGGCCGGCCACACUGGAACUGAGACACGGUCCAGACUCCUACGGGAGGCAGCAGUGAAGAAUAUUGGGCAAUGGGCGAAAGCCUGACGCAGCAACGCCGCGUGAGCAAGACGGCCUUCGGGUUGUAAAGCUCUGUCAGGAGGGACGAAGCCACUCGGGUGAACAGCCCAGAGGGUGACGGUACCUCCAGAGGAAGCCCCGGCUAACUACGUGCCAGCAGCCGCGGUAAUACGUAGGGGGCGAGCGUUGUCCGGAAUCAUUGGGCGUAAAGCGCGUGUAGGCGGCUCGUCAAGUCCGAUGUGAAAUCUCGGGGCUCAACCCCGAAACUGCAUUGGAAACUGGCUUGCUAGAGUCCGGAAGAGGAGAAUGGAAUUCCUGGUGUAGCGGUGAAAUGCGCAGAUAUCAGGAAGAACACCGGUGGCGAAGGCGACUUCCUGGCCCUAUACUGACGCUGAGACGCGAGAGCGUGGGUAGCAAACAGGAUUAGAUACCCUGGUAGUCCACGCCGUAAACGAUGUUCACUAGGUGUUGGGGGUAUUGACCCCCUCAGUGCCGGAGCUAACGCAUUAAGUGAACCGCCUGGGGAGUACGGUCGCAAGACUAAAACUCAAAGGAAUUGACGGGGGCCCGCACAAGCGGUGGAGCAUGUGGUUUAAUUCGAUGCAACGCGAAGAACCUUACCUGGGCUUGACAUCUGGGGAAUCCCCUGGAAACAGGGGAGUGCCUUUCGGGGAGCCCCAAGACAGGUGCUGCAUGGCUGUCGUCAGCUCGUGUCGUGAGAUGUUGGGUUAAGUCCCGCAACGAGCGCAACCCUUGUCUUUAAUUGCCAUCAUUCAGUUGGGCACUUUAAAGAGACUGCCGGUGUUAAGCCGGAGGAAGGUGGGGAUGACGUCAAGUCCUCAUGGCCUUUAUGCCCAGGGCUACACACGUGCUACAAUGGGUGGUACAAAGAGCAGCGAGCUCGCGAGAGUAAGCGAAUCUCAAAAAGCCGGUCUCAGUUCGGAUUGGGGUCUGCAACUCGACCCCAUGAAGUCGGAGUCGCUAGUAAUCGCAGAUCAGCAACGCUGCGGUGAAUACGUUCCCGGGGCUUGUACACACCGCCCGUCAAGUCAUGAAAGUCGGUAACACCCGAAGCCGGUGGCCUAACCCGUUUGGGGGGGAGCUGUCGAAGGUGGGACCGGUAAUUAGGACUAAGUCGUAACAAGGUAGCCG
rnacentral:rRNA from 1 species